rnacentral:rRNA from 1 species
GGAUGCAAUCAUACCAGCACUAAAGCACCGGAUCCCAUCAGAACUCUGAAGUUAAGCGUGCUUGGGCGAGAGUAGUACUAGGAUGGGUGACCUCCUAGGAAGUCCUCGUGUUGCAUUCC